rnacentral:rRNA from 1 species
AUUGAACGCUGGCGGCAGGCCUAACACAUGCAAGUCGAACGAGUGGCGGACGGGUGAGUUAUGUCUGGGAAACUGCCUGAUGGAGGGGUAUAACUACUGGAAACUGUAGCUAAUACCGCAUACCAUCGGAUGUGCCCAGAUGGGAUUAGCUAGUAGGUGGGGUAAAGGCUCACCUAGGCGACGAUCCCUAGCUGGUCUGAGAGGAUUACCAGCCACACUGGAACUGAGACACGGUGCAGAUUCCUACGGGAGGCAGCAGUGGGGAAUAUGGCAAAAGGGGCGAAAGCCUGAUGCAGCCAUGCCGCGUGUAUGAAGAAGGCCUUCGGGUUGUAAAGUACUGUCAGCGGGGAGGCGUUAACCGAAGAAGAAGCACCGGCUAACUCCGUGCCAGCAGCCGCGGUAAUUC